AUUGAACGCUGGCGGCAGGCCUAACACAUGCAAGUCGAACGGUAACAGGAAACAGCUUGCUGUUUCGCUGACGAGUGGCGGACGGGUGAGUAAUGUCUGGGAAACUGCCUGAUGGAGGGGGAUAACUACUGGAAACGGUAGCUAAUACCGCAUAACGUCGCAAGACCAAAGAGGGGGACCUUCGGGCCUCUUGCCAUCGGAUGUGCCCAGAUGGGAUUAGCUAGUAGGUGGGGUAACGGCUCACCUAGGCGACGAUCCCUAGCUGGUCUGAGAGGAUGACCAGCCACACUGGAACUGAGACACGGUCCAGACUCCUACGGGAGGCAGCAGUGGGGAAUAUUGCACAAUGGGCGCAAGCCUGAUGCAGCCAUGCCGCGUGAGUGAAGAAGGUUUUCGGAUCGUAAAGCUCUUUGAUUGGGGAAGAAAAAAGACAGUACCCAAAAAACAAGCCACGGCUAACUACGUGCCAGCAGCCGCCGUAACAC
rnacentral:rRNA from 1 species